GAAAGAAUCACAUGGGCUCCGGGGUCAGAUUGCCUGGAUUCAAAUCCUCAUUCUGCCACGUACUGGCUCUAUAAGUUUAUACACAGUUUUAACCUUUCAAAGGGGCCUCUAUUUUCUCACCUGUAAAAUGCACAUAUUACUAGUAUGUGCCUCAUGGAGUUACGGUGAUCUCUAUGACACUGCGUAAAAAGGACCAGGCAUACAGCCUGCCCGCUAGUAAAUACCUCAUAAAAGGUCAUUGUUACGGUCACUUGUGUUGGGUUGAAUUGUGCGGUUUAGGCUUAAGCACAACAGGAAUUCAGAGAAAAGAGACGGCACCUUCACCAAUAAUCCAAGAUGACUUCGAUCAUCCAGAAGCAGCCAGGUAAAAGGGGUCAAAAAACUUGCCUGGGAUCACCUAGCCAGUAAGCAGAAGAGUCAGGAGUCAAACCAGGGCAAUUUGGCUCCGGAGUGGAGCUCUUCACUUGCAUGCCACAGAGCCAACCUCAAGGAAGCUGGAGGCUCAGCUGGACUUUGCAGGACAAGCCACAAGACAGAGGCACCUCUGCUGGGAAGAAGGACCAAGGACUUCCCGUCAUGCACUUCCCAUGAUCCAACUCAGGGUUUCUCCGGAAGGCCUGCAUCCUUCUCUAUUCUCUCACCCCUGCGUUUCCCACCCUGCCAGCCUCCCUCACCCCCUUCUUUCCCUUCUUCUUCCUGUUGUCCAGGUCUAAGAGUUCAUCCUGGCCAAUGACUGGGAGCUCCCAGAGCAGAGUGUACUCCUUCUACUUAUUAAAAAAGUUAACCGUAAG
rnacentral:lncRNA from 1 species